ACGAGUGGCGCACGGGUGAGUAAUGCAUAGGUAACGUGCCCCUUAGUCUGGUAUAGCCACUGGAAACGGUGAAUAAUACUGGAUACUCCUUCUACCUUGAUGGUAGUUGGGAAAGUUUUUCGCUAAGGGAUCGGCCUAUGUUGUAUCAGGUAGUUGGUGAGGUAAUGGCUCACCAAGCCUAUGACACAUAGCGGGUCUGAGAGGAUGAUCCGCCACACUGGUACUGAGACACGGACCAGACUCCUACGGGAGGCAGCAGUGGGGAAUAUUGCACAAUGGACGAAAGUCUGAUGCAGCAACGCCGGGGGGAGGAUGACACAUUUCGUUGCGUAAACUCCUUUUAUUUAAGAAGAUAAUGACGGUAUUCUCCGAAUAAGCACCGGUUAACUCCGUGCCAGCAGCCGCGGUAAUACGGAGGGUGCAAGUGUUAUUCGGAAUCACUGGGCGUAAAGGGUGCGUUUGCGGUUUGGAAAGUCAGAUGUGAAAGCCUACAGCUUAACUGUAGAACUGCAUUUGAAACUUCCAGACUAGAAUACUGAAGGGGCAGAUGGAAUUAGUGGUGUAGGGGUAAAACCCGUAGAUAUCACUAGGAAUACCGAAAGCGAAAGCGAUCUGCCUGGGAAGUUAUUGACGCUGAGGCACGAAAGCGUGGGGGAGGCAAACGGGAUUAGAUACCCCGGUAGUUCACGCCCUUAAACGACGAAUGCUAGUCGUCGGGAAAGCUCGUCUUUUUCGGUGAUGGCAGUUAACAC
rnacentral:rRNA from 1 species